ensembl:lincRNA Gm26797 predicted gene, 26797
AGACGCCGCCUGCCUUCUGCCACCGCAGGCUCCCGUGACCAUCCGAGUGGGAAAGCCUCAGCCUGAAGCACCAGGUGGAGCCGUCCUCAGUCCUGGUUCUCAAAAACUCUGUACGGCAACUGAAUGUGUGCUUUUUAGUUACUGCUUUAUCUACGAGGACUUUGUUAAAAGCCUCAGGAACUGUUGUGAAGACACUGCGCUCAUCCUUCCACGUGGGGGCGCUGUCGUACAGCAGCACAGCCUAUGAAUCCCUCCUCUUAUGGCAAAGACGAAACACUUCCAUCCGGACCCCUCAAGCUGGGACUCAGCUCCACACAUCAUCAAGUUGUCACUGGACACUUGAGUUAAGUACUUUUACCUUCUUAAAUAUACAAUUCAAUUUUCAUGAAUAGUGAGAUUUGUCACAAUAUCCCAUUCAUAUCCCGUUGAGCAGAUUGAGUACCUCGCAUGACAUGUUAAUUGCUUCGAUUUUUGACAGCUAAAAAAUCACACAGUGGCAUAUGCUUUCAAAGGAGUACUUGCGAUUCAAAAAUAUCCAAUUUAUAUUCUUUUUUAUUAGCAUUGUAUAAAAAUAUCACGAGCAAGCCUUCCCCUUAACUUUCUCAAUUGUGAUCAACAAAGGUUAACGUUAGGGGGGAAAAAUGAGGUUUCCAUACAUAGCAGUUUCCUGCUGGUGAAGAAGGAGUGACUCUCAAUUCAUCCCCUCUGUUGUGGUGAGAACUGGAAGGUUAUGAAUGAAUUCCUUGUGCUCCUGUUAGCCAAGGACUACUUAAAUAUUUCAUUUUGGAAAAAAAAAAAGUUCUCACCAAGAAUAACUGAAGCUUGAGUUCCAGAAGGUACUCCAUCAAUAACUGUAAAAAUAUAAUGUAAUCAGAACAAAUGGCAGCUCCCAGGUCAACCAUCCAAUAGUGCUGAUUUUAUUUUUUUUAUUCUGUAAUUUUUAUUGACACAAAGGAUAAAAAUCAGUAGGUACAGGGGGACAGCUGAGCUGGUUUGUUUCCAUCUCUUAUCUCUGACACAGAGAGCUUCUCGCUGGAAGAAACCACUCCGCCCAGUGCGCAGUGAGAAUAGAAUGCUGGACCUCUCACCUACCAGGCAACCCUGGUUGGUUCUCUGGCUGCUCCCUGGGCGGGGCCCCUCUCAACACAGACAGAAACCAGUUGGUUUCUGGUUGGGAGGCUCCCAGUAGCUGGGGGGAGGGAGAGUGGGCAGAAAACUCAGGACAGGAACACCCAACUGUUCUGAGUGCUUUGGGCUUUGGUUCAGGUCUCAGUGAGACAAGGAAGGGGUCCCAGUGAGGUUGCCCAAAUGCUGUGUAGCUUGCCACACAGGCCUCCAGCUUCCUGCUCUCUUGCAGUAGGAGCAUAGAAGAUCAGGUUGCUGUACACAGCCCUGAGGAGUACCAUCAACUUCGCACCCGUUUUGAGGUGUUCCUUUCCUCGCCCCCAUCCACAGGCUCCUCCCUGGGGCCCUGCACACCGUGUCCUUCCUCUUUCUGGAAUGUAUAUGUGUGCCCCAGUCCCUAGACAGGACCCAAUUGGUGAUGUGAUGCCUCUCGCUGAGUGGUCAUCAGCAGGGAAUGAAGGAAAGCUGAAAGGGUCUGAUUGAAACAAAUAUACUGCAAGCGGGGAAAAAAGGUGACAGAUUUACGUUUUCAUGUCUUUUAAUUAAAAAAAAAAAUCUGAGGCAGUUUAUCAGUCACUUGUCCUGUUGCUGAGAUAAAAUUCUUCCCACAAAACCAACUUAAACUGCUAUCUGUCCAACGCCAGCAUCAGCCUGUCACCCAGUCACACUGCCUUGCUACUGAACAUUGUUCUAUGGUUAAAUUAUACAUAUACAUGUACAUAAUUUUAAAGCAACUUAAGAGACUUUGGCUCACAAUUGAGGGUGGGAUGUGACAGUGGCGGGAAUGCGAGGCCCUGGUCACAAGGCGCCCACACUUGGGAACAGCGAUAGAUGAACACUGAUGCUCAGCCCAAUUCCUCCUCUUUAUUCACCCAUGGGACUUGGUCUCCCAGUUAGGCUGGGUCUUUCUGCUUCAAUUAAUCUAAUCUAGACAACCCCUCGCAGGCACACCCAGGGUCUGUCUCCUGUUUGCCAUUUCUCGAGCCCUUUCUAUUUUUAAUAAAAUCUUAACUCUGCUUCUCACUGACUAGCCCUGAAAUCCUUUUGUGUUUCAAAAACCGCAGACCUCAUUUUGCAGCACAGUUCCUAACAGAACCAGGGAAGUCUUCAGGCCGCUGAAGAUGAUAGCAAGUCCUUGUAGCAUCCAACGGGGUGACUAUCAGAAGCCACCAAAUCUCCUUGUGUCCAACACAAUCACAAAGCCCGUGAGGAUGGCCACCAGCAAAGUGGUGUCGACAUGCAAAACAUCAGAACCCUUAAUGAAAAUUUAAAGAUGUGAGUUAUGGGAAUAAACUGGUUACUCACACUCGAAAGGACCCUGGUUCAAUUCCCAGAACCCACAUGGCAGCUCAUGACUGUAUGUAACUCCAGUUCCAGGGGAUCCCACACAGACACACAGGUAAACUAAACCCCAAUGCACAUAAAAUUAAAAGUAAAUCAAAGGAUAAAAAAUUUAAAAAAAAUUUAUGUGUGUUUGUGUGCACAUGUGCUAAAAGAGGAAAUCAGAUUCCCUGGAGCUGGCAUUACAGGCUGCGAGCUGCCUGAUGUGGGUGCCGAGAAUUAAACUCUGACCCUCUGCAAAGGCGUCAGGUGCUCUCAGUCACUGAGCCAUCUCUCCGGCCCUGUGGAGACAUGUGUAUUUCAUUUUCUGUGAACUUCCUACACAGUCUGCCCAUUUCUCUUCUUAAUAUGGAAGUUCUUAUAUAAGCAUAUAUAAGAGUAUAUUCUAUAUAAGUUUGAAAGGUCCUUCCUCCUAAAUACAAAUGNNNNNNNNNNNNNNNNNNNNNNNNNNNNNNNUGCAUAUGUGUGUGGAUGUGUGUGCACGUGUAUGAGUGAGUUCAUGAGUGCAUUUACAUGUGUGAGUGUGUAGGUGUGUUCAAGAGUGCGGCCAUUUAAAAAUGUUUUCUUGAUGCCAUCCCAAGAUUUUCAAACAUGUAAUUUUAAGUCACAUCUAAGUCAUGUUGGGAAGAGUUCAGCUCAGCAGAAUUAGUUGGGGAUGAUAGAGGAUGUUCAGAGUAGCAAACCAGGAAAGAACCGGCACACAGAAUGCUUUCCCUUUGAGCAUAGUUUUAAAGGCUCUGUUCCAAGAUGGACAGAGAUUGUGCAUGCCUUUAAUACUAGCACUGGGGAGGCAGAGGCAGGCAGAUCUCUGAGUUCAAGGCCAGCCUAGUCUACAAAGUGAGUUCCACAACAACCAAGGCUAUACAGAGAAACCGUGUCUC